rnacentral:rRNA from 1 species
UACGGGGGGGGUAAGCGUUGUUCGGAAUUACUGGGCGUAAAGGGCUCGUAGGCGGCCAACUAAGUCGGACGUGAAAUCCCUCAGCUUAACUGGGGAACUGCGUCCGAUCCUGGAUGGCUUGGAUUUGGGAGAGGGAUGCGGAAUUCCAGGUGUAGCGGUGAAAUGCGUAGAUAUCUGGAGGAACACCGGUGGCGAAGGCGGCAUCCUGGACCAAUAUUGACGCUGAGGAGCGAAAGCCAGGGGAGCAAACGGG